GCAAUAAUGCAACUGCAAGAUAAAUGACCAUUAAUCUGGAGAAAAGUCUCUUGAAGUAAGUCUCAGGGCUCCAUAAAGGACCUUGUCCAGCUACUUAUUGAAGACUUGUGUGAGGACAGUGAAAGAAUGCUGAUCAAAUUGUAAGUAGCACAAAGCUAUGCUGUAUAUCUAAUAUGUCAGAGGUCAGAAUCAAGGCUCAAAAAGGUCUUUAGAUGCUGGAGUAAUGGCCCAAAUCCAAUAAAAACAAAAUUUACAGGGAAUAAUGUGAGGUCUUGAACUUCAGACUGAAAACUCAAUUGGGGGGAGAUGUAGCUUAAUAGUAGAUCUGUGAAUAAAAAUCUCAGGCGGUGGGGGCGGGUGGUUCUUAACUGACUAUAAACUUGAUAUGAAUCCAUAGUAAUAGGAUUGUUCAAAAACAGAGAUCAGUUUUGGGUUACAUUCAUGGAUGUUUUGCAUCCAAGAUGAGAGUAGUGAUCAGUCUCGUUCUUUGUGCUUCUUAGACAAUACCUGAAGUUUUACAUUCUAUUUUGGGAGCUACACUUGAAGACGGACAGAAAUGUAUGAGGACAUGCUCAUCAUGGGACAAAAACAUUUGGAAUCAUUCAUUCACUUAUUUACUUACUCAUUCAGUAGAUCUUUACUGGGUGCCCACCAUGCUCCAGACUCUUGGUCCUGCAGCAUGCUCUACUCGCUGUGCGUGGGACCUGUGAGAUAAUCAGUGAAGAGAGACGGAAGGAUAUGAAAAUGAGAGAGUUUCUACAGUUCUGAGAUUCCUUGGGGCGUGUGCAGAAUGGAGCAAUCGAAGAACAGCAAAUUUCACAGUAUGGUCUGCCAUCUGUAUAGGAACAGCAAGAAAACUGAUGGGAUUUCUCUCCCUGGCAGAUAUUUAUUUCUCAAGUGCUUUUAAAACAGGAAGUCUGCAAAAUUCUUCACAAGUGGUUAAAACAUGAAGAUUGAUUUACAAAUGUAUAUUUACGAGGAAGAACUAUUUUACAAUGUGUCUAAAAUUUCCAUUGAAAACCUAACCAAAUAUUUGUAGCUUCCCCCCAGACUCCUUUGCUCUACAAUUUUAAUAAAUCAAGGAACAUUUGUAAGUGCUAAAUGUUAAACAGUUAUUCACAGUUAAUUUUUAAUCAACUAACAACAGUUAUGUGUUAAUUGAAUGCCAUUAACAAACCAUAACUUGAUGCAUUAGCUCUUUUGUUAUGCAAGGAAACUUUUCCCUGAAGCUUUUAUAUAUUGUCUGACUUCCUUCUAAAUAGAACAUCAAUAUCUAUAGACUAUGAAUUUAACACAUGUGUUUCUUGACAUUUAGGUGUGUGUAUGUGUAUGUGUGUCCCUGCACCCAUGUAAAACAAAUCAGAAUGUACUAAAGUAUUGAAAAUGAAAGAGAAAUCCAAAUACAGUCUUGAUGCAGAGUUAGAUAUGCAAAAGCCAAAACAGAAGCCAAUUUGACAUUUUGGAAUUUUAAUCUUAACUCUUAUUUUUACUUUGAAUUUCUGAACUAGUUACUUAAUAUUUCUUUGGCUUUUAUUUUCAAGAAAACAGGGCUGGAUUUAUUUUGAUAGGGGAUAUUUCUUCAUCCUAGACUGAAAUAGAAAAUUAACACCAUUCCUACAACUCAAAAGACUAAUAAAAAUUAACAUAUAUCAGCAUUCUAAUAUAUUAUUUAUUUAUUUUUGAGAUAGGGUCUUGCUCUGUUGCCCAGGGUGG
ensembl:lincRNA